ACUAUUUGUCUGAAAUAAAUUGCCUAACAAUAUCGCCAUGUCAGCUUCUGUGAGUAGAGAUAACAAAAUAUUAUCACUCAUAUUAAUAGUAACCAAGUAGAAACUGAAACUCUCUUUUAAAAUUGCUUUUCUUAUGUGCUGUAUGACAAAAAACACAGUGGUUGACAAAAGGCAGGUGGCUGACAGUCUUUCCUACUUAAACCAGCACCUGAUCUCCUGGAUCAGGCAAGCAUAUGAGCCUUUCCCCUAAUGAAGUCAACAAUGGAGCUGGAGCUGGGGAAGAGAUGACAAGGGAACAAAUCAAUCAACCCUCCCAGGACCAGAGUGAGAGCUACCUUUGGUUACUGGGAAGGAUGUCAGAAUCCUAAUGUCCCAUGGCUAGCAAACUCCUUCCUUCUUUUAUGAUUCUUGGGAGUGGAUUUACUUACAAGUUGCUUGGUUCUGAGAAUGAUGUAUAGCUAUGAGCACAUAACAUGGAAUGAUACAGACUCCAAAGGGCAAAGCUGAGUAUAAAUCAAUGGACAAUGGAGAGAUGCAUGGUGGUCAUGGAAAUGAGGAAAGACGUGAUAGAGUCUUGAAGGACAUGUGGUGUAAAAAAUGUUAUUAAAGAAAUGAAUAAAAGAAAAAAAAGAAGAUAGCCUUGUCACAUGGUGAAGACAAGAAGAUAAAUGAUGGAUGUGCUCUGCUAAUAUCCUUACAAUGCCAUGAGAAUGCAGCAACUCUGGGGAGGACAUGGGGGAGAGUCACAGAGGAUAUAGGCAAGUACCAAUAAGGUAUUGGAUAAUAAACUCAAAUGAAAAAAAUCUUGGAAUAUGUGAACUGUGAAGACAAAUGUGUACAGCUUAAAUUAUAAGAGAGGGAAUCAAUAAGUAAGUUUUCCAUGGGCCUCUGCUGGGAGAAACAGGAUUGGAGCAUCUAUUGACUUCCACCAGCUGUUGCUUGCCAAUUCUGUUCCCUGACAGGUAGCAAGCUGUGUACUUGGCUGCAAAGAAUCUCAAAUAGUUCAGAUGUGCCUCAGGGAGAAAGUCAUUUAUCUUUGUGCCCAAGUGAGCCAGAGGUGAAUUCAAAUCAGAAGAGAAGCAAAUGUACAUUCUUGGGGCUCGAAUUUGGGACUUCCCUUGAGAAGGAGAAGAGUUGUGAGCCAGGGUUAUUUGUGUUCAUUGACUUACCAGAAGAUGGUUUAAGGAAAUGGAGUACUUAAGUGAUGAAGGAAUGAAAGACUAGAGAAUUGGAAGUGGAAUUUCCAGGAUCACGUAUCUAACAUGUUUCUGAGAGAGAAUUCAAACUCAGGUCCUCAUGACUCCUGAAAAUCCUGGAACUUAUCAUUGCUUCCUAAAAGUUUUUUGAAGAGGACCAAUGGCAUCAUGGCACAAGGCAGAGUCACACAAAGUCAUCAAAGGACUCACUCUCUUUUCCAGAGUCAUCCAAACCUGGUGGUAAGACAGAAGUCAGGAUGGCUGACUGGGAUGCAGUGGAUGACCUUGGCAUCUUCAGCAUUUGACCCAGCUUAGAAGGUCAGACAAAGUGCAGUUUUGAUUUAUGCCAGUUUAAAACCAUUCCGACUUAUGAAACACUCUAUAUUAAUGGCUUUACCAUUCCAAAGUUUGGGUCUGUCUGAACAUUGCUUGUAUGUUGGGGGGAAGGCUGCCUUGCAGCCCUGGAGGGAGAAUCCUCAAGAUUUACUUAGAGGUGGCCCUGACCUCUCAUGAGACCUUUGUCAUCCAUGGGCUUGAGCCCCUUCUGCCUUGCCUUCAUUCAUCCUAUUUGAUGAUCAAAUCCUGAAUAUUCCCUUAGAUCUAUGUUACAAGUGAGGAGCUCAAAGUGAACUAUUCCUAUUGUUCUUAUAAUUUUGGUAUCUAGAAAUAUAACAUCAUCAUAUCCAUUUCACUUACCUUUUGUCACUCUACCAGUAGCAUACAUUCCAUUAAAAUUUCAACAGAAAUGAUGACUAUAAAUGCUCACUUUCUGUUGGACUGCUGUUAUCAAGAUUGCUUUUUUUAUCAAUGUUCUGGGGAGCUGCUUAAAAUGUAGCAGCAAGAGGAAUUUGAAGGCCAGAUUGUGAAUUCCAGCUUUCACUUUGGACAAUUCUCUGAAGCUCAGCAAAUGGGGACAAUCCAGUAAAAUAAUGCGUGUACUCUUUAGAAGAUUAUUGUGAGGCUCAAAAAAGAUCAUGUCUAUAGUGUGCUUUGUAAACGCUAAGCACUAUAUAAAUGGCAGCUAUUAAAAUCGUUGCUGUAAUUAAACAGAAAUUUUUCCUUUCCAAAAAUCACUAGAGGCACGGGAGGUAACCAUAAUCUACUAAUAUUUGUUUGAGUGUUUCUGGAAGGUCGUGUCAACUCUUUUUCUGUCACCCCCACGACCCCCGUGCUAUUUGUGUGGCUUCCUUCUGCUAUUUUCACACUGAUCAAUGGAACAUUAAUAAAUGUUUGUUGAACUGAAUUGAAUUGAACUGGGAGACAAACCUAUGCUAAAUGAUACAUAACCAUAUCCCCAAAGGCCAUAGUUGUCUUGUAGGUGUUGAUUAUAGAUGAUGACAUAGUUCUGUCAUGGUUUUCCAGGAUCAAAAACUCUAAGGGAAAGAAGAAAUCCCUCCCCCUUCUCCUUUCUCCACUUCCUACAAUACCAUUACUUUUAUGCAUCUUAGAUAAGUGACUGUCAGUAAGAAUUUUAUCAGCUUUUUAUAGUAAACUGAUUUACUAUCUUACAUAUUUCAUCGUUAGACUCAGCUCAUGUCUAACCUAACUUUAUUUUGCUUCAAUGUUUUCCUGUGUUGUCUGAUGCACUGUAUUUUUUGAUUCAGUAGAGUGUUUUGGCCAGGUUCUACUGUGAUCUUUUCUGGUAAGAUCUGGUUAAUAUAUCCAAAUGUAGAAUGAAGACGUACCUUAAGAGUGGUGGACAUAUUAAAGAUUUAACUAAGUGUGUAACGGAAAACAAUUCUGAAGAAUUGAAAAUUCCAGAAAAAUAAAAUUGCAAGGAGAGAAGAGAAAGAGUACAGGCACAUAUGCCACUUAGUUCACCAACCAGCAAUUAUUAAGCAUUUACUUAUGCCAGGGACUGUGAUUAUAAGUGCUAGGGAUAUGAGGACAGGUAAAAGACAAUCCUUGCUCUCAAAGAGUUCACAGUAUAAUUAGGGUAAACAACAUGCAAACAACUAUGUAUAUAAAUAAGAUAUCUAUAGGCUAAAUUGAAAGUAAUCUUGGGGGGAAGGCAUUAAGGUUAAAGAGGACUGGAAAAAACUUCAUGUAGAAGCUAAAACUUGACAAGGUCAAUGCAGUAUUCAGAUAUUAGAAAUAAAAGCAAUGCCAGGAAGGUGGGAUUGGAGGAGAUCAUUGCUCCCCUGACUAUAGGGACUUGGAAUAAGCAUUCUUGUUAGGGAAUCCAAGAGAAGUCUGUAUGCUGAAUGCAAUUUUUACUGAGUCCAAUUAUACAUCAUUUAUCCUUCAUUCCUAUAGCCUUUCAUGUUCAUUAUUAAAGGUUUUAGUGCCACUACAGUCUGAGAGUGCUCAUUUUUAGUUGAAUCCAGAACUGAGACCCUCUAGGACUAAUGCAGCUAUGUUUAAUGGGUAUAUUUUUGUGCUUCAAAUGAAUGAUUUAUGUCAGUGGGAAAUUGCCCGAGAUUAUGUGCCCAAAUGUAGUGGGAUUCCCAAACUCUAAAACAUCCAUUUGGAAUCCCCCUCUAUUAGAGUUUACAUCAAAUAGCUUGUAGUCUAAGUAGUGCCACAAACACGUGUCUAGCUAUAGAGCUGUAAGGACCUAAGAGGAGAGAAUUUGCUUGCUCUCCAGAAAAAGGAUAAGUUUAGCUUGACUGAAUGGUAGUAAUUCCAUCUACCCACUCUUGCAUUAAGUGAUUAUCCCACUGGAAGUCAGUGAUCUGCUUUGAAGUCCCUGGCUUCAAAAGACUCACCACAUGAGGUCUAUUCACAUAAGCCAGGGUUCCUCUAAAUAGAAAAACAUCCUCUGCAUCUCACUCUUAAUUUCUUGCAGUUGAUGAAAUGUCUUUGAGCAUCAAUAGGAUUUGGAGAUUACCAUAAUUUCUCCUCAGAUGCACAACUGGGAGGGCAGGCGCUUGAAGGCUCAAGUGUGGAGUUUUAUAUUCCCUUUAAAUUGGUGAGGACUACUCCUGGAAAAUUGCUUUUAGGAUUUUAUGGUUGCUUUGGUUGUCCUCUCAAAAGGUUAGCUCAAAUUCUAGUCAACAAUUUGUUGAGAUUUUGAGAGUGACAUGGAAAUAUUGUUCCUCUUUUUUUAAACUAUUGAACAAGGGCAAGUGUCAUUAAUUAUUUAUAAUUUUGGACAUUGGAAUCCUGGAUAGUUUGUCCACUUAUGAUUUAAUACUGAAUUCUGAAGUUGGGUUUUAUUUCCAGUGACUUUUCAGUUGAUCCCAAAGUAGAGAAGGUCAAAUAAAAUCCUGGGUUUAAUCAAUAUUUCUAUUAUUUAUUAUUUCAAAUGAAACAUUGAGCUUAAUAUUUCCAUUAUGAAACAAUGUGUACUGCUUCUCAGUCCCAGUUCUAUUAGAUGUAAUUCUCACCAUAUGACUAUUGAUUUUAUUUCUUACUUUUAAAAUACUACUACUCUAAAAAAAUUCCUUUGAUGAAUUAUUAUUAUAGUAAAAAUAGGAAAAUUGAGUCCCAAAUCCAAAUUAUCAAAGAACAUAAUGAAUUUUAGGACUAGAUUACUUAAAAGAAGUAAAAAUGUAAAAUAUAUAAUAUAAUUGUUUGAAAUAUUCAGAUUUUUAAAAAACUUUUUUGGGAAAGACGGUUUGGGGAUUUAUAAUCUCUCUUCUCUACUCUUUAUCACCUUAGAGCAAUAGCAUCAGACUCAAAUAGAAACAGAUCCAGGGAGUGUAUAUUGGUAUAUUGACUUAGAAAACCACAAACUAACAUUGUCUAUACUAUGGUAUAUUCUUAUUUAUUGUGUAUAUAUAUAUAUGCAUAUAUAUAUAUAUGUUCCUUUUGUUAAACAUUUGCAUUUGAAUGUGGUAUGGUUUGCCCUUGGGAGUUUUGUCAGCCCUUCUGUUUUAGAGAAUCAUUUGUGGCAUUCAGGGGUUAAGGAAAAGGAAGCCCUGGAAUGGGGACAGAGUGGUUAUAAACAAGAUGAGGGAAAAAAUGUAAAUAGGCUACCAGACAUGUUCCAAUAGUUACUCACAACUUGGACUUUUAACUUUUACUCCUUUAUCCUGAGCUAGUGUCUAUUUUCCUGAUGUUCUUCCAUUCUUCACUGCAUGCAUCACAUUUUUGCACUAUCUACACUUCAUAUCCCAGGAUAAGACAGAGCCCCAGUGGCUCUAGAUUAGUUAUAACCUUGAAAUUUAGUAUUCAGAAGACUUCAUGGUAGGUCUGAUGAUAAAAAGACAAAAAUAACAAUCAUUUUCCUCAAGGAAUUUUUGUUCCUUUGAGUAGAUUAGGAGGGAGGAAUACAAAAAUAUACAAAGAUAAGUAAGCCUGAAAGUAACAGAAUAGGUAAGCAAAAAGUAAAUAUUAAAGGGUGAGGUGGAUUUUAUGUCAAAGAAAAAUUUGAAGAAAUCCAGGAACUUCUUGGCAGUGAGAGUGGGAGAGAACAUGUGGAUGAAGAACAGAGAAAGUAACAGAAUGAUAUUUUAAUGAGUAUAUAAUAUGGAAUACUUGCAAAGGAGGACAAAUUAGACAAGAAGUUUGAAAAACAGACCAGAAAUGGUAGAGUAAAUGCUCAAAUGGUUCAAUAUCAAAAACAGAACAACUGACACAUUACUUCUGACUUGAUGUUAAUUUUAUGGAAUCAUAGAAUUUCUGGGCCAGAGUGAACCUCAGAAGCCUUCCAAUCCAGUCGGUCUUUAAAAGAGAAUCUUUCUACAACUUUUCUUUUGUUUCAGACUGGAAUUCUUUAUCCUGCCCAGAAAGGCUAUGGAAAAGUGAAAGAAGUACAAGGACUAGUCACCUCUCCAAUCUAACACUCAUAGACAUAGAAGCUUCAACUUCCUUUUUCCCUAUAGGCAGCCUGGCAGUCCUUUGCUUUCUUCCUUCACCUUCUUCAGCUCGCCAUAUUGGUGCUAAACUUUAUGUAGAGAGCAGAUUUAUCUGAGUCCUCUGGAAGCUCAAAAUUAAAUGGCCCACCCAUCUCAACUUCUCCCAGUAGUGAGGAUUAAAGUCAUGAGCCAAUAUAUCCAGCUUUUCACAAUAUGUCCAUCAUUGUGCCUUUGCCCAAAGACCACAUAGGAGGAAGGAGAGAACUAUCUUACCUGCCUACUACCAGAACUACUUAGUUUACAUGCAUGGACAGGAUUAGGUCCAGUAUAAAACAAAAUAAGGAUCAAGGUGCAUUGUGUUACAGUGAAAAGACCACUGGAUUGGGAAACUAUAUCUGCUUUUUUGGCUACACUGUUAAUAAUAAUAGCAUUUACACAGAACUUUAAGAUUUGCAAAAUACUUUAUAAAUCACUUUUUAUUCCUUACAACUAUUGUGGUGUCAUGAUAAUUUUAGGUUUGUGACUUAAAAUCUAGAUUUAAUUGGUCACCAAGGAAAAUCCCAAAUAAAAUACCCAAGUCAGUCUGGAAAUUUAUGGUAAUUUAAUUAAUAUAGAGGGAAAGAAUUUAAAGAAAAGGAGGGAAGAGGAUAUAGGAUUUCUCCUGCCUGCCCUGUGCUGGGGAGAGUUUUAAAAUCCCCACCUCUAGGUCUCUGAAGAAGAUUAGAGGCUUCUAAGAGGAUA